rnacentral:rRNA from 1 species
GUCUCAGUUCAGAUUGCAGGCUGCAACUCGCCUGCAUGAAGUCGGAAUUGCUAGUAAUCGCAGAUCAGCAUGCUGCGGUGAAUACGUUCCCGGGCCUUGUACACACCGCCCGUCAAGUCAUGAAAGUGGGCAGCACCCGAAGACGGUGGCCUAACCCUUGUGGGGGGAGCCGUCUAAGGUGAGGCUCGUGAUUGGGACUAAGUCGUAACAAGGUAUC